CGUGGAGCAACAGUGGCGUGCAACCCGCUGAUCUGGACUCCUCCCGCUACAAUGUUGUCUAAACAACGAUUUACAACAACAUCCACAGCUACAGGGGAAAAGGGAGAGAAGAAGAAAGCAUAUUGAUAUGGUCAGGGUGAACAGCUCCAGACUAUCUAACCUUUCCUCGUGACCGAAGUUCUCUAGAUCCUCAUUAGCACUUCCUUUAUUGUGGUACACAGAACAAUGGUAUUUCAAUGGAACUGGAGCACAGUGCCUGGCCACCACUAUAAUUUAGUGCAAGAAGAUGUACGAUGAAUUUUUCUCACGACACAUUUGGAAAGUACCUGCAUAGUGUUUAAUCACUGCCAGUAUCAGCGUAAGGAAUACAGCAGGUCCACUGGGGAGGCUCCAACACCAUGCCCUUCCUGAUCAAGAUGACAAAAUCCACAAUAAAGUCAUCUCUGAGCAGCACAGCAAAGAGACACUCCUUCCAUUUCAGCACCAAUUCAUCAUUUAGAUCCUGCUACUUGCUGACCAAUCGUCCUGCACUUUAGCUUGGCUGACUUGAACUGGCUUCCGUUAGAUAAAUUUAUCUUCAAAUUGCAAAAACAAACUCAAAAACAAAUUCAAAAACACUUGGCAGCAAGAGUGUGUUAGAGAGAAAAAAAAGUUUAAAAAAAAAAGGGAGGUGCAAAUUGAUAUGACUUUCCAAUGGAACCACAGCAAAAGAAGCAACACUUCUAGGCUAGGCAUAGUGCGAUCAAACAUCCCCUCUGCUUUUAACAGUGUAACUCAGUCCCAACCUUAAUGUUCUGCACAAGUGCAAUCAGGUCAGUGUUUCAAUGAACUGCCUAAAAGGACA